GUUCAGGGACAACCCUGUGAUCAUGGUUUUGGUCACAUAGCUUCCAAGUGAGUGUUGUGCAAACAUUUGCUAGGAUCUCUCGGGGAGCCUGUUAGAAAAGAAACUCCUGAGCCUGCUCCAGAGCUUCUGUUCAGCAGGCCUGAGGUGGGACCAUACACCUGUCUUUUCAGCAAGCCCCCCCCCACCUCUGAGGAUGCACCCCAAAGCUAGAGAAUUCCUGCUCUGAGCCAUCUCUGAAAGCACCAAGAGCCAGGGCCAGGGAAGCUGGGCUGGAGGAAGCUGUCUGGGAGCCCAGGAGGCAAGCAGAAAACCGCCAGGACCGCCCCACGCUGGGGGAGCAGCAGGCACGGCCCCUACCAACACCCCCUGGCACCUCGCAAAGCUAGAGCCCGCCCGGUCCCCUCCCCGGAGCGCCCUGGUCUUUGGUUCGUAUUCAGCACAUCUUCAGAAACAGUGAUAGAAAAAUGCUGGUUUCUGACUCCACCAGCUCACGGAGGAGAUGCCAGCUCACGGAGGAAAAUCUGGAAGGUGUUGAAGCAUAGACGCUGGAACAUAAAAUGACUCAUGAUCUCACUGGGAGAAGGGCUGGGAACAUCGUGGGCUCUCUUCUCCCCGCGCUCCUCUCUCCGGGUCUCUGUUUCCCUCAUUCCACGAUGUUUAGUGAGUACCUGCAGAGGGGGCUUCCCGGGAUGCAGGGCUCAGGGCAGGGGUGGGGGCGAGCGUGGGCGAGGCAGAGCGGGCGAGCGCGGGCUGGGAAGGGCGCCCCUGGCGGGCGGCCCGGGCAUAAAGGCUUUUGAGCUGGCCUCGCGGGCAAGGCAGGAGGACUGCCUGGGGGAGGCGGCCAUACGCCCACCCUAGAGGAAAGCGGCCACCAACGCUGAGGGUCCGGCCCCCACUGACCCUCUGAGACCGAGCCGCCUCGUGUACCAGCGAGGCCACCCGCGCACCUGGCUUGGGCUCCCAGCCCCGCGCCCCUCCACGUCGGAGGCGCAACACCUGUACCCGAGCCUCGGACUCUGAGAACGUCUGGCCUUUAGAUAGGCCUCGCGCUCCCAGCGCUGGGGAGUCCUGCAUCCCCUAACCGGUGUCUCUCCCGGAUGCAAUGGAGGUGAACCCCUGGGGUCUCGCGGAUCCCGAGUUCAAAGCGACCACAGACUGCUCUGCUUCCAGGACAUCCCCUUGGACACCCUCCUCCCCCGCCCAGGCAACCCAAAACCAGCAUGUCCCCAGACACACUCCCCUAGACACACUCCGCAACGCCCCAGACCUGCUCCCCACUGAGUCCUCUGUAUCCAGGAACCAUCGGCGCACUACAUCAGACUAGAGGUCUGGGGUCACCCGACCAUCCCGCCACAAGCCCCUCCGAGGCAUCACUGUGUCCAGAUUUUGCAAACUGCACCUCCUGAAGGGGCUGGGGUCUGUCCACUUCGCCCCAUCUGCCGUGGCAGCACUUCCUCCGUGGUUCGCACCCCCACAGCAGCCUCCUGGGAAGGCACCUCCCUGGGGCCCCUCUCAGUCCACGGUGUGGAUAUGGUGAGUUCUUAAACCAUGAACUUCUGAUUUCACAGCUCUGCUUGAAGCCUUCAAUGUCAGGCUUCCUGUUGCUCUUAAGAUAAUGAUCAAAACUCUCAACAAAGUUCCCCUGAUAAAUGCUCUCAACGUGCCCCCCACCACAGCAUCCCUAACUGUAAUGAAUACAUCAUUGGUCCUCACGGCAGCGGAUUAAUCGUCUGUGAGUGUUGGUUUAAUCUUUCUCUUCUGGAGUUUAGCUGUCACUGCCAUAUCCCCAGCACGGAGCACAAUGACAUGUUUAUAUGUAGAAAAUUGAGCGAAAAAUAAAAACAGCUAACAUUUGGGUACUUAUUAUCUUCCAGGCAGCAAGCUAUGCAUUUUGCAUAUAUUAGCAAAUCCAUGAGGCAGGUGCUGUCUUCAUUGUACAGGUGAGGAGCCUGAAGCUCAGAGAGGUGAAGGAACAUCCUCAAGGCCACGCUCUGAAAUCAACAAAAGAUACAUCAGUUUAUUGUGGGAAACAUCAGAACAUGCAGAGAUAUUAACAAAGAGAAGUCACUCAGAGAUGACUGUCAUUAACAUUUUGGUGUAUUUCUUCGUAGACAUUUUCCUAUGUCUCUGCAUAGUAACAUACUGUCCAGAGUGCUUGUAAUCUGCUAGACGGUUUGAUGAGACCAAGUUUUCAUGGUAUUAGCCACGGCAAUAUUUGUAUUCAUAUUUUAGGGUAUGGCUGAACUGAAAUUUGCUUUUGCUCAACUCAGCCCCUCUUGUGAACAUUAGGCACUUUGCACUUCACCUGCUGAAAACGUGGUAGUCAUAAACACGCUGGUAGCUCAAUCGUCCCACCUAUCUUUACUAUGUUAUUCAUUCCUAGCAGUGGGGCCUGGGUCAAAAGUUCUGCAGGGUUUUAAGGCUUUGGAUCAGUGGUUCGGGAUUGUCCUCUGGGACGGGCUGAGAAGCACACAUGCCUGCCGGUGGUGACAAGCAUUCCUUCCUAGUGCAGAGUCAGGUCUGCACCUGGCACCCCCUACCCAUCCAGGUUGGGUCCCUGGCAUUCAGUUAUGUGGAACAGACCAGAAAAAUUAAAAAAGAACCCCCUCCCGCAUCUUCCCCGAAGGACCACUGGCCUGCUGUCUCUCCCCGCACUCCCCCACUGGAGUUCAUACCCACUGAAUCACGACCCCCUUGUGGCUAAGCCCUGGUGCGCCACCCUGCAAAAUCAAAGGUGGUGUCUAGGCACAGAAAUGGCUCCGUGACCUAUGUCCCCUUUGUUCUAAUCUAGAAUCCAGCCAGGAGUAUGCGUGUCAGAAGCCAGGGGUGAUUGUGUUUUUUCUCCUUCCUCUUUCUUUAGGUCAGGAAGAUUCCUGCAGCUGCUGAGUUAGUACUUUUAAGAAAGUACUGGAUUCCCUCUCACAAUGGGACUUUGAUUUUUUUAAGAAAAAGGUUUCAUAAGUUUUCAAAUAACCUGGAGCAGUUGAGCAAACUUAAUGUGCAGCGUGGUCCCUGCUGGCUGGGUUUGAGGGGCUGGGUCUCUCUGAGUGGAUGCUGGUGAGGUGCAGAGGAAGAAGAAAAGGUGCCUGAGGGCCUGUGUGGAAGGCCUGUCACACAGCACAUCCUGGGAAAUCUGUCCAGGAAGCAGCCAGGCGGGCAUCAGCCAGGCGGGCAUCAGCAUCUUCACUGUGCAGAUGAGAAACUGAGGCCGCAGAGGUGAAGGGACAUGCCCAGGAUCACUAAGGCAAGACGGGGGAAGAGCAGAGAUCUUGGGCAUGAUCUCGGCUCACUGCAACCUCCACCUCCCAGGUUCAAGGGAUUCUCCUGCUUCAGCCUCCCAAGGAGCUGGGAUUACAGGUGCCCGCCACCACGCCCGGCUAAUUUUUGUAUGUUUAGUAGAGACAGGGUUUCACCAUGUUGGCCAGGCUGGUCUCGAAUUCCUGAUCUCAAGUGAUCCGCCUUGCUCUGUCCCUUAGGGACCUCAGCUUAGUGUUCCACACACUGGCAGAUCGCCUCGUUCUUCUCAGGGCUCAGUGUUUUCCUGAGUCUGAACCACGAUCUGGGUAGCCAUCCCCUGGCGAGGACCAUUCGGGGUUCCAGCAGUCACAUGCCACGGUAAACAAGCUUCGUAAACAUCCCACGACAAAGGUGGGAGAGAAUCCCAGUAGGGACAAUGACUACAGGUGGAAUUGCUGGGAAAAAGUAUGUCGGUUUUAAGUGUUGAUAACUGGUCCUUUAUUGGUCGUGGUCAUUCAUUCUUCUGCCAGGCGGGGCUGGUGUUCCUAUAUCCUCUCCUCACCAACAGAGCGUCUUAUGUUUAUUUGUUGGCAACGUGGCAGGUGAAACAUGUACCCUGUCAUUAAAAAAAAUUAUACUUGGCUGGGCACGGUGGCUCACACCUGUAAUCCCAGAGCUUGGGAAGCUGAGGUGGGUGGAUUGCUUGAGGCCCGGAGCUCGAGGCUAGCUUGGGCAGCACAACGAGACCCUGUUUCUACAAAAAAUACAAAAAUUAGUGGGGUGUAGUAGUGCACGCCUGUAGUCCCAGCUACUGGGGAGGCUGAGGUGGGAGGAUCACUUGAGCCUGUCUCAGAACAAACAAACAAACAAACAAAAAUAAGAAAAAAAUACAUAGUUUUAAAACAGUUUUAAACACAUUUGGGAAAAUAUAGGCAGUAGAAAUAGCAGUUGUGCUGUUAAUGCCUCAGACAGGGCUGGGCUCGUAGUAGGUGCUCAAUAAAUAUGUAUUAAGUAAGUGAAUAAGGAAGAAAAUCCCAUGGCUCUGCCAACAAGAAACACUUCUGUCAACAUUUCACUGUGUUUGUUUUCCUGAGUAUUUUUUCCUCUACAUAAUUUAGCUUUGUUUUCCAUUCAUUAUGCUCACCCGUGCAGACACAGUUUUUAAUCUUGUUUCUUUUUUUUCACUUCACGUUGUUGACAUGUGUGUUUCUCUCUUCUAAGCAGCGUUUCAGCAUCUCUAUAAAACCCUCACAGGUAUGUGAACCAUAGAUCAUUUGAAUCGUCUAUUGUGCUUUUAGGCUGUUUUCAAUUUUUCUUUUUAUAAAUGAUGCAGCAGAGUAUCUUUAUGCAGAGACCGUUUCCAUACUUCCCCCUGUGCAGAAGGAAAAGUAGGCAGAAGAAAGAUUAACUUGGUCAAAGCUUUUAAAAUCUGAUUUAAUACUUCUUAAGAAUGAUGCACCUUAUGAAACAACUUUAUAUCUGUUGAAAAACCUAGUUCUUUUUUUAAUAUUGUUUUAAAAAAUGACUUGUUCUGAACAAUAUCCUGUGCCUUUCAGAAGACAGCGACGGAUAUGAAAGGAGAUUUGUUCUCUCCAAGCUCUUAGGAGGCGAUCUGGCUCAGGAAACAGACACAUCAGAUCCGAGCAUGUAUCUGAUGGUUGCUAUGGGAACAAGUCAUUUAACAGCCACUCAGCUAAAGCAUUGAUCAAUAAGGAAGGGGGCAGGAGGGAAAUAAAUUAGUUGGUGUCUGAAUAGCCCUGAGAGAGAGCAAUAAUGCGUCCCCUUCCCAUGGCAGGGGCCCGGGCAGGAGGCAGGGGCGAAGUCUCGUCCAUCCACGCUGGGAUGUGUGGGGUAGGAGGGCAGAGGGGGCAGAGAACAGAAUCAUAUUGGGGUGAGAAACCUGCUCCCCAAACCAGAUAUGGGGCAAGUGAGGCCUUAGACAAGGCUGGGGGCAGGGCUCCCAGGGAUGGGGGCACGGCUGGUCCCGCUUCUCCACGCUCCUGUGAUGUGCUUGCCGGGCCUGCUGGGAUACCCUGUGGCACCCCAUCGCUCUAGUGGGGAGUUCCGGUCUAGAGAGGAGCCGUGACUCCUUCCAGGCACAUGGUCAACCCCACUUGUCUUCUGGGGGCUCCCAGCCUGGCAGGGGAGAAAGGCAAAGGCCCUCACGGGGUCGUUCAUUGAUUCAUCCACAAAUACUUCCUGAGCCUGUCUGAGGGACCAUGCUCAGGCCUGGGCAGACAGCAGAGACCCAAGGAAAGAACAGAACUUGGGCUCUGGGGCCAAAUCGUGGCUCGGCCACUUGGCAGGCUCUUCACCUGUAACGUGUUGAGAAAGUGACGUAAAGUCAGAGCCAGGAGUGGGCAUCCUGAGUGCUCAGCUGCCAUUGCUGGGACUCAUAAUCGCAAGGGAAGGCAGAGACAGAAGUGAGGGUUCCUAAGUGGAAGGUACUCAUAAAGCCUUGGCUGAAUACGUAUGGCUGACACAGGGGUGUCUGUGUUUGCCACCAAAGGGUGGCCCUGGGCUGGGAUUACACACGGAGAGAAGGCGGGAGGAAAGUCAGGGAGCCUCAGACCAUUGGAGGCUGCAUCUAUUGACCUCUGAUCCCCACAGGCAUGGGUGUGGGUGUGGGUGUGGGUGUGGCUGGCUCAAGGGUCAGUGCCCACCAGAGAACUGGACCAUAGAUGAGCUGGACUUUUCCAACCCUGCCAGCCUGGGCCAUCUCAAGGGUGCUAUUGGUUGUGAGGGGAGGAGGCCCUCUUUUCUGAGUCCCUCCCCAGAUGAGUGCAAGCUGGGACACAUAUACGAGAAGGAUCCUAAUAACAUGCAUGCCAAAAUCCUGCUGUCCCAGCCUUUGGUUCCAGCAGUUUGACUUCUGGAAGUCUUUCCCAAGGAAAUAACCUUGAACCCACGGUGUCUGCUGUAGCAUUCUUCAUAAGAGUGACUGCAAACAACCUCUAAGCCCCAAAUCAUGUAUUGGUUAAAAAAAUAAUGAUUCCUUUUCUUGCUUUAACUCAGGUGAUCCCUAGAAACACAGCCAGUGGCCCGGAAGCUGCACUGUUUUGUGCACCGCAGGGAUGGGCACAGAUGGGGCUGCCUGCCCUCCUCCUGGAAGGAGGGAGAACCCAGUCUGGCCUGGAGUGGUCAAGAGCUAACUCUAGACUCAGCAAGACCUACUUCUCUCUCCUGCCCCUACUUCCUUGCUGCUGACCUGGGCAAGUCGCUGAAGCCUCUCCGUGCCUCAGUCUGCUCGUGCGUAAGAUGGGCACAGGGCACACUGCCUACUUGAUUGGGCUCAACCACGUGCAGUAAGUAGCUGGUGUCUGGCAAGAGCCCUCAGGAAACAGUAACCCCAUUAAUUCAAAUGCACGUGCCUGGAACAGGCUCUGGGGGGCCAGCCCGGGAGUCCCACUCCAUGAUGGCCACCCUGGGGCCUGGCAGGCUGGGCUGGCAUCCCAGGCCCACCGGAUACUGGCUGUGCACCCCGGCCAGGCCACACAUCUCUGAGCCUCACUUUCCCGUGUGUGAGAUGAGGCUAGAAGCUGCUUUCUCUUGCGUGUGUGGGGAUUGGCGGUGACAACACGGCCAGGAGCCCAGGCCCAGCCUACGCGAGCAGCCUCGCUCCAGGCCACACGCCCCACUCCUGACAGCUCUGUGCAGCGAGUUCGUGCGCGAGCGGGUGGCUGUCUGCCAGGCGAGGGGCGCGGGUGCCCAAGAGGGCUUCACUGCUUCUGGAAAGAUCACAAGGAAAAACCACCUCCGCGGCGGGACGCUACCCGCGGGCCGCUGCGGUCCCGCUCGCGGCCGGCAGGGGGCAGGAUGUCCCCGCGAGUCGCCCGUGUCUUCGGGUGUCCUCAGGUCACCCCGCACCGCUCGCAGCCUCCGCGCCUAGUUAAAGGGCGACGCACUCAUUUCUGCAAAGAAGGAGCCCAGCGGCCCCUCCCCGGGGAACUCUUUCCAUCAACUCGGGGCCUAAUAAUUUACAUUUAAUUUGUUAGCGGUUUAAUGUUUAAUUUUAAAAGCGAGAUGAUUCAUUACCAUAUUAAUAAAUAAUAACAUUUAUUAUUCUCCUAAUGAGUGUCCAAAAUACAGAAGCAAUUACAUGUUUUAUAUAUUUUCUCGUAAUUUGAGACACCAGAGCGUUAAUUACAGAGACUCACGCGUGGACCCCAUUCUGAUCCAGGGUCCUGAUCCUGCCUUUGUUUCGGUCUCUGAACCAGCCGCCCUCCGGGGCUUCUGCAAUUCCCUCAAUUAGAGGAGAGGAAGUCGUACGUGACGAAGCUGGGGCUCUCACAGAACCCCGGCGCCCCAGACCCAGGAGCUGCAAGACCUCAGCUCCCCGUGCCCACACUCGGAGACCCAGGCCCCUCCCAGUCCCCCGU
rnacentral:lncRNA from 10 species